CNNNGGGGGGGSGUGCAGUAGGGAAUCUUCCGCAAUGGGCGAAAGCCUGACGGAGCAAUGCCGCGUGAGUGAUGAAGGUUUUCGGAUCGUAAAGCUCUGUUGCCAGGGAAGAACGCUUGGGAGAGUAACUGCUCUCAAGGUGACGGUACCUGAGAAGAAAGCCCCGGCUAACUACGUGCCAGCAGCCGCGGUAAUACGUAGGGGGCAAGCGUUGUCCGGAAUUAUUGGGCGUAAAGCGCGCGCAGGCGGUCAUUUAAGUCUGGUGUUUAAUCCCGGGGCUCAACCCCGGAUCGCACUGGAAACUGGGUGACUUGAGUGCAGAAGAGGAGAGUGGAAUUCCACGUGUAGCGGUGAAAUGCGUAGAUAUGUGGAGGAACACCAGUGGCGAAGGCGACUCUCUGGGCUGUAACUGACGCUGAGGCGCGAAAGCGUGGGGAGCAAACAGGAUUAGAUACCCCC
rnacentral:rRNA from 1 species